AGUGUAAUUCAUUUUAGAAUAAGGCUGUAAAGUGGAAAAACUCAAGGGGGCAGACAUGUCAAUAGGUACCAGUCAUGGUGAGUAGAGACAUCAUGCCAAUAGGUACCAGUCAUGGUGAGUAGAGACAUGUCAAUAGGUACCAGUCAUGGUGAGUAGAGACCACAUGUCAAUAGGUACCAGUCAUGGUGAGUAGAGACAUCAUGCCAAUAGGUACCAGUCAUGGUGAGUAGAGACAUCAUGUCAAUAGGUACCAGUCAUGGUGAGUAGAGACAUCAUGUCAAUAGGUACCAGUCAUGGUGAGUAGAGACAUCAUGCCAAUAGGUACCAGUCAUGGUGAGUAGAGACAUCAUGCCAAUAGGUACCAGUCAUGGUGAGUAGAGACAUCAUGCCAAUAGGUACCAGUCAUGGUGAGUAGAGACAUGUCAAUAGGUACCAGUCAUGGUGAGUAGAGACCUCAUGUCAAUAGGUACCAGUCAUGGUGAAUAGAGACAUCAUGUCAAUAGGUACCAGUCAUGGUGAGUAGGGAGAGACAUCAUGUCAAUAGGUACCAGUCAUGGUGAGUAGAGACAUCAUGCCAAUAGGUACCAGUCAGGGUGAGUAGAGACAUGUCAAUAGGUACCAGUCAUGGUGAAUAGAGACAUGUCAAUAGGUACCAGUCAUGGUGAGUAGAGACCUCAUGCCAAUAGGUACCAGUCAUGGUGAGUAGAGACCUCAUGUCAAUAGGUACCAGUCAUGGUGAGUAGAGACCUCAUGUCAAUAGGUACCAGUCAUGGUGAGUAGAGACCUCAUGUCAAUAGGUACCAGUCAUGGUGAGUAGAGACCUCAUGUCAAUAGGUACCAGUCAUGGUGAGUAGAGACCUCAUGUCAAUAGGUACCAGUCAUGGUGAGUAGAGACCUCAUAUCAAUAGGUACCAGUCAUGGUCAGUAGAGACCUCAUGUCAAUAGGUACCA
ensembl:lncRNA